rnacentral:tRNA from 1 species
GCGGGGGUGGCGGAAUGGCAGACGCACUGGACUCAAAAUCCAGCGGCCGCAAGGCCAUGAGAGUUCGACUCUCUCCCUCCGCA